AAACCGACUGUUGGAGAACCAAGAGAAUUACAAAGGAGUCAGAACAAAAGAUGCCAGCAGAAAAAGGAAUUAUAUGUCCAAAACUGGAAACAGAAUAAUUUAGAACGGUGGAGGCAUUUGUUCGAAGCAGUUAAAAUCAGAGCAACUCCGCUCUCUCCACUGACCAAAAUGGACUGGCUUCUUGCCUCAUUUAUCAUCGCCCUGCAAACAGAUGAGGGCUUAGCUCUCCAAACGCAGCUCCUUUAUAUUGCUCCAUCAUAUGGACGCUGUACAAAUGUGGAAGUCUUUGGAAUGGAUUCACCGCAAUCAAGAUGUUUCCAGUCAAAACGGCAAUCGAGAUUGUGGAGGACCCCUGGCUCAUGGAGUGACUAUUUUGGCAUUGGUGCCUAUGAUUUCAAUCACUUCUCCAUUAAUCCAUGCGAGUUCUGGAUCCUCAACCCAGACAUGUGACCCGAGUGUGAUAUUUACAGGAGUCCCCUAUUCAUCAAAACAAGCCUUUCAUUAGUCUCAUCCAGAAGAAAAGAUAGGGAUAUGCAGCAGAAAGUUAAUGGGAAGGCUUACCAUAACUCAGAGCUCUUCCAAGCUCUUACGCUGAGAAUCUGCAGCAGUUGAAGAAAAGAGAAGUUAAUAUAGAUAGAGAAGAUUAAGCUCUUUGAGGGAGAGAGACAGAGAUGAGUCACAAAAAGAAAAGAAAAGGCGACUCUGAAUCCAAGAAAAGCCAGGAUAUUCUUUAAGCUAGAAAAUGACCUUUCCCGCACCUCUAGUCUCCACCAAUUCAACUUCUUUCAGAUAUUCUCUCUUUGAUCAUUUGCUUUGAAAACCAUGCUUGAGCAUUCAAUACGAAACUGUAUGGUGUAAGGACACUCUUCAUAUUUUCUCCUUUGCAAAGCUUUAUGUUGCCUC